rnacentral:rRNA from 1 species
CCAGCAGCCGCGGUAAUACGGAGGGUGCAAGCAUUAAUCGGAUUUACUGGGCGUAAAGGGCGCGUAGGCGGAACGAUAAGUCAGAUGUGAAAUUUCGGUGCUCAACACCGAAGCUGCAUUUGAAACUGUCGAUCUUGAGGACGGACGGAGAAAACGGAAUUCCACGUGUAGCGGUGAAAUGCGUAGAUAUGUGGAAGAACACCUGUGGCGAAAGCGGUUUUCUAGUUUGUUCCUGACGCUGAGGCGCGAGAGCAAGGUAGCAACAGGAUAGAUACCUGGUAGUCUGCGUAACGAUGUAUACUGAUGUAUGAGGCUCAACCCUUAUGUGUCGAAGCUAACGCGAUAAGUAUACCGCCUGGGGAGUACACUCGCAAGGGUGAAACUCAAAAGAAUUGACGGGGGCCCGCACAAGCAGUGGAGCAUGUGGUUUAAUUCGAUGCAACGCGAAGAACUUUACCCAGACUUGACAUCUACUUGACCGCUAUAGAGAUAUAGUUUCCCUUCGGGGCAGGUAGACAGGUGCUGCAUGGCUGUCGUCAGCUCGUGCCGUGAGGUGUUGGGUUGAGUCCCGCAACGAGCGCAACCCUUAUCAUUAGUUACCAGCAUUUCGGAUGGGGACUCUAAUGAGACUGCCUGGGUUAACCAGGAGGAAGGUGAGGAUGACGUCAAGUCCGCAUGGCCCUUAUGUCUGGGGCUACACACGUGCUACAAUGGUCGGUACAAUGGGAAGCCAAGCCGGAAGGUGGAGCAAAUCCCCCAAAGCCGACCUCAGUUCGGAUUGUAGGCUGCAACUCGCCUACAUGAAGUUGGAAUUGCUAGUAAUGGCGUGUCAGCAAUAACGCCGUGAAUACGUUCCCGGGCCUUGUACACACCGCCCGUCACAUCAUGGGAGUUGGUUUUGCCCGAAGUCGCUGACUUAACCCGCAAGGGGGAGAGGCGCCGAAGGUGAGGCUGAUGACUGGGAUGAAGUCGUAACAAGGUAGCCGAU